rnacentral:rRNA from 1 species
AGUGAACGCUGGCGGUAGGCCUAACACAUGCAAGUCGAACGGCAGCGCAGUAAGAGCUUGCUCUUACGGGUGGCGAGUGGCGGACGGGUGAGGAAUACAUCGGAAUCUACUUUUUCGUGGGGGAUAACGUAGGGAAACUUACGCUAAUACCGCAUACGACCUACGGGUGAAAGCAGGGGAUCUUCGGACCUUGCGUGAUUGAAUGAGCCGAUGUCGGAUUAGCUAGUUGGCGGGGUAAAGGCCCACCAAGGCGACGAUCCGUAGCUGGUCUGAGAGGAUGAUCAGCCACACUGGAACUGAGACACGGUCCAGACUCCUACGGGAGGCAGCAGUGGGGAAUAUUGGACAAUGGGCGCAAGCCUGAUCCAGCCAUACCGCGUGGGUGAAGAAGGCCUUCGGGUUGUAAAGCCCUUUUGUUGGGAAAGAAAAGCAGCAGGUUAAUACCCCGCUGUUCUGACGGUACCCAAAGAAUAAGCACCGGCUAACUUCGUG